rnacentral:rRNA from 1 species
UAGGGAAUCUUCGGCAAUGGGGGGAACCCUGACCGAGCAACGCCGCGUGAGUGAAGAAGGUUUUCGGAUCGUAAAGCUCUGUUGUUAAGGAAGAACGAGUGUGAGAAUGGAAAGUUCAUACUGUGACGGUACUUAACCAGAAAGGGACGGCUAACUACGUGCCAGCAGCCGCGGUAAUACGUAGGUGGCAAGCGUUGUCCGGAUUUAUUGGGCGUAAAGCGAGCGCAGGCGGUCAAUUAAGUCUGAUGUGAAAGCCCCCGGCUCAACCGGGGAGGGUCAUUGGAAACUGGUUGACUUGAGUGCAGAAGAGGAGAGUGGAAUUCCAUGUGUAGCGGUGAAAUGCGUAGAUAUAUGGAGGAACACCAGUAGCGAAGGCGACUCUCUGGUCUGUAACUGACGCUGAGGUUCGAAAGCGUGGGUAGCAAACAGG